AGAGUUUGAUCNUGGCUCAGGAUGAACGCUAGCGGCAGGCCUAAUACAUGCAAGUCGAACGGGAUUCUAGACUUCGGUUUAGAUGAGAGUGGCGCACGGGUGCGUAACGCGUAUGCAACCUACCUUUUACAGGGGGAUAGCUCGGGGAAACUCGAAUUAAUACCCCAUGGUAUCAUAAGAUCGCAUGGUUUAAUGAUUAAAGAUUUAUCGGUAAAAGAUGGGCAUGCGUCUGAUUAGCUAGAUGGCGGGGUAACGGCCCACCAUGGCAAUGAUCAGUAGGGGUUCUGAGAGGAUGAUCCCCCACACUGGUACUGAGACACGGACCAGACUCCUACGGGAGGCAGCAGUAGGGAAUAUUGGACAAUGGGCGAGAGCCUGAUCCAGCCAUGCCGCGUGUAGGAUGACGGCCUUCUGGGUUGUAAACUACUUUUCUACAGGAAGAAAAAGUCCAUGCGUGGACAAUUGACGGUACUGUAGGAAUAAGCUCCGG
rnacentral:rRNA from 1 species